CCAAGUGAUUUGGGAGCCCUUUCAGUCAAGGUGAACACAGAGCAGGGCUGGGGCUGGCUGCUUCUGGGCAUGCAGAGGAUGAGCAGCGACAGGAUGUGCCAGGCCCUGGUCCCUACAUCCUAAGAGAUGAGGAAAAAUAAAAGAGGGGAAAAAGAGUGUUUACAGGGGAGACUUUGCAGACAGAAGGAAGCUGGGUGCAAGGCCCUAUCUAUGAAUGGAGAUUACUUCUGCUUCUUAAAAGGACUAUUACUUGCAACCUCUGCUCCCUCCAGCUAUAGACACAGGCUAUCCUUGACCUCCUCAGCUUGUUCAGCACCACCUGCUAACCAGGCACACCCGGACCCACUGCUGAGAUUCCCAGGAAGCAGAGCAGUGCAGUGAAACCAAAAUCAUUAUGUUGACUGAAUUCAUUACUGCCGGACUUGUCCC